rnacentral:rRNA from 1 species
GGUUUCUGCUAAGUCGCAAGACGAUGUAUAGGAGCUGACGCCUGCCCGGUGCUGGAAGGUUAAGGGGAUCUGUUAGAGCAAUCGAAGCAGUGAACUUAAGCCCCAGUAAACGGCGGCCGUAACUAUAACGGUCCUAAGGUAGCGAAAUUCCUUGUCGGGUAAGUUCCGACCCGCACGAAAGGCGUAACGAUUUGGGCACUGUCUCAACAACAGACUCGGUGAAAUUGUAAUUCCGGUGAAGAUGCCGGAUACCUGCGACAGGACGGAAAGACCCCAUGGAGCUUUACUGUAGCUUGACAUUGGGUCUUGGUACUACAUGUACAGGAUAGGUGGGAGGCUUUGAAACCAGGACGCCAGUUUUGGCGGAGCCAUCCUUGGGAUACCACCCUUGUAGUACUGGGACUCUAACCAUAGGCCAUGAAUCUGGUCUUGGGACACUGUCAGGUGGGCAGUUUGACUGGGGCGGUCGCCUCCCAAAAGGUAACGGAGGCGCUCAAAGGUUCUCUCAGUACGGUCGGAAAUCGUACGUAGAGUGUAAAGGCAAAAGAGAGCUUGAUUGCAAGACAUACAGGUCGAGCAAGGAUGAAAAUCGGACUUAGUGAUCCGGUGGUUCUGCGUGGAAGGGCCAUCGCUCAACGGAUAAAAGCUACCCUGGGGAUAACAGGCUUAUCUCCCCCAAGAGUCCACAUCGACGGGGAGGUUUGGCACCUCGAUGUCGGCUCAUCACAUCCUGGGGCUGUAGUAGGUCCCAAGGGUUGGGCUGUUCGCCCAUUAAAGUGGUACGCGAGCUGGGUUCAGAACGUCGUGAGACAGUUCGGUCCCUAUCCGUCGCAGGCGUAGGAAAUUUGAGAAGACCUGUCCUUAGUA